rnacentral:ncRNA from 2 species
CUGCGUGACUUAUCUGUCUAUCUCUGCUCCAAAAGGACCAGCUCAAAAACCGGGGAAAACUUGGUGAAAAUCCAGUGCUGUCCCGCAACUGUGAUGAGACUCAAGAGUCUCUAAGCCAGAAUGCCCGUCGACGUCAAAAGACUUUU